UUCCUCAGCAGUAUUAGAGUAUAAAGGAUUUCCAAUCUUUUGGUAUUGAGGGAU
rnacentral:tRNA from 1 species